rnacentral:rRNA from 1 species
UACGUAGGGUGCAAGCGUUGUCCGGAAUUAUUGGGCGUAAAGGGCUCGUAGGCGGUCCAUCGCGUCGGGUGUGAAAAGCUGGGGCUUAACCCCAGGCCUGCUUCCGAUACGGGCGGACUAGAGGUAGGUAGGGGAGAUCGGAAUUCCUGGUGUAGCGGUGAAAUGCGCAGAUAUCGGGAGGAACACCGGUGGCGAAGGCGGAUCUCUGGGCCUUACCUGACGCUGAGGAGCGAAAGCAUGGGGAGCAAACAGG